rnacentral:lncRNA from 1 species
AUGCUGCUGUGGAAGCCGAACCCCGUGAGGUUCUCCCAUGGGACCCCUUGGGUCUCCAGCAGGAAGGGCUCCUCGUCCUGGCUGGGUCGGCCGGGGCUUGCCAGGGCUCACCGACACGGCAGCUGGCAGGCAGGGACACAUCCUGCUCGCCACCAAAACCCGCCGAGCCCUCGUGGCUCAGCACCUGAAUCACUCCUUCCUCGCUUCGUGCCUGCCGCAGCGCAUCCGCGGCACGGGGACGGAGCCUGGCGGAGCAUCCCGAGCUCAUUGUCCUCGGGGAAAAUGAACCUGGAGGUGACCGCUGCCCUCAUCCUCAGCCCCAGAGGCCAAAUCAGCGCCGCAGGCAGGGCACGGUGUCCCCGGGAGCUCGGUGUCCCCGGGGACCUCGGGAUGUGCAGCCUGGGGGCACUGCAUCGGCGUGGAGGGCGCAGAGCCCGAAGGGCAGAGCUCAGCUCCCCCCCGUUGAGCACAAGCAGCUCAUUUACCGCUCCGCUGAGACGUCUCGGCAGCCUCAUCGAUAGCCAGAGACAGGGCACGGGGCUAGACGGCUCCGGCAUGGGGCCGGAUCCUGCUGCAGGCAGCAGAAAUGGUCCUCCCGGAGCCGCCGAGCGGCCGCGCCGACAGAGGAGAUGCUGCACCAGCAGGAUGGGGCCAUGGUGGGUCCUGGGCCGCCUUCUGGGAAAACACGGCUGGAAAAAGCCCCACUGCCGGGGGGGGGAAAGAAGCUCUGCGGCCCCGAACCGCCACGGAUGCCAUCAGGAAAGGAGUCUGUAAAAACCUCAAAGCGUCCGUGCCUGAUAAAAACCGGGGAAACGCGAAGCAGAUUGGGGAGGGCUCGGUUCUGCGUCUGGCGGCCCGGGGCAGGCGUCGGGAGCGGGGAGUGCGGCGCAGAUGUGCAGGAGCGGGGACGGCAGCUGGGGACUGCCGGCCUGCAGGGAGCUCGUGGUGAGCAACACGGCUGCGAAGGGGAGGGGAAGGGGAUGGGAAAGGGAAGGGGAAGGGGAACGAACUCGUCACAGACCCGUUCCCAAUAAAGCGCUGCUGCUCCGCCGCGGGAGCA